CCUACGGGUGAGCAGCAGUGAGGAAUAUUGGUCAAUGGACGGAAGUCUGACCCAGCCAUGCCGCGUGCAGGCAGACGGCUCUAUGCGUUGUACACUGCUUUUGUACAAGGGUAAACCUGAAUGCGUGUAUUCCGCUGACAGUCCUGUACUACUACGUAUCCGCUAACUCCGUGCCCGCAGCCGCGGUAAUACGGAGGCUCCAAGCGUUAUCCGGAUUUAUUGGGUUUACAGGGUGAGUAGGCGGAUUGAUAAGUGAGAUGUGAAAUGUCCGGGCUUAACUCGGGAACUGCCUCUAAUACUGUUGAUCUAGAGAGUAGAUGCGGUAGGCGGAAUGUAUGGUGUAGCGGUGAAAUGCUUAGAGAUCAGACAGAACACCGAUUGCGAAGGCAGCUUACCAAUCUAUAUCUGACGUUGAGGCACGAAAGCGUGGGGAGCAAACAGGAUUAGAUACCCUUGUAGUC
rnacentral:rRNA from 1 species